GAAAAAAUGAGGAAAAUCUCAACAAAGCCCAAAGUUUGUGCACAAGUUCUAGUUUCUUUUUAUUUAUUUAUUUAGUUAGUUAGUUAGUUGUGGUGAAAUGAUAUCCAAUAUUUUGAUUGGGAAAGUGACACAUUUAAGUGGUAUUUUUGUGUAGAAAUUCUUACUGGGAAAGUCUAUUUUUAAAAAGAUGAAGAAUUUAUCUUCAGUGAUCUGAACCAAUAAUGGGCUUCCCUUCAAAUACCUGACCAUUCUUGGAUCUGUUGGAAUGUGCUAUUUGUUGUGGGCUAUGGGGCAGGAGGUGGGGAGAACAAGAUGGAAGAGUUGGACUCAGUCCAGUCCACGAUGGGUGGAUAGUGACACUGUCAUGUGUGCCCCUCUGACGGUGAAGUGAAAGAAAGCCCACCUGGAACUUCUCAUGACAACAUCAAUAAACUGUCAAAGCACAAAGGAUUUGGAGAUUCAAGCUCCUAACCUCAAGAGAACUUCAGAACUAGAUGUGUUUUAUCAAUCAUAUAGAGAAAACUUUUCCUACCUCUUCUACGUUCUUCACAAGAAUCUAGCUAGCUCUCUUGCUGCAGCACAUUGUGCAAGUUCAUCAUGAAGCACUAACGGAAAGUUCCUUUCAGAGUCUGAGUAUUUGGAGGAUUUUUACCCAUCACAAAGCUUGGUAGGUACCCCUUGUCUCCAGGUGCUUAAUUUUACACUGCAUUUAAAUGAAACCGGUUGCCGGUAUGAUGCAGAUUUCUCUGUAAAAUUGUCCUAUCUGUGGUAAUACAGCAAUUAUAUCAACACUAAAGAUUUACAACAAAAGGUAACUAUAAAAACAUAUUUGUACAACGCAGCUCCAGGCUCAAUGCUAUACUAAUAAUAUAAUUAAUAAAAUACACUAUUUAUGCCA
rnacentral:lncRNA from 1 species